AGAAUCAACGCUGGCGGCGUGCCUAACACAUGCAAGUCGAACGAGAAAGUGGAGCAAUCCAUGAGUAAAGUGGCGACCGGGUGAGUAACACGUGACUAACCUACCUUCGAGUGGGGGAUAACCUCGGGAAAACCGAGGCUAAUACCGCAUAACAUCGCAAGAUCAAAGCAGCAAUGCGCUGGAAGAGGGGGUCGCGGCUGAUUAGCUAGUUGGCGGGGUAAUGGCCCACCAAGGCUUUGAUCGGUA
rnacentral:rRNA from 1 species